rnacentral:rRNA from 1 species
UACGUAGGGGGCAAGCGUUAUCCGGAUUUACUGGGUGUAAAGGGAGCGUAGACGGCAGCGCAAGUCUGAAGUAAAAUGCCGGGGCUUAACCCCGGAACUGCUUUGGAAACUGUGCAGCUAGAGUGCAGGAGAGGUAAGUGGAAUUCCUAGUGUAGCGGUGAAAUGCGUAGAUAUUAGGAGGAACACCAGUGGCGAAGGCGGCUUACUGGACUGUAACUGACGUUGAGGCUCGAAAGCGUGGGGAGCAAACAGG